AGAUUUAUUUCAGAAAUGGUUAAUCGCCCACAGAAAAAUAUAGUUUAUAUAUUAAUCAAAAGCUAGAAUUACAUCAAAUUUACAGUUAAGUCUUAUUUUUAAAUCCCUUGAAGCCCAUUGAUUGUAAGCUCCAGUAUGAGCUCUGUAGAAUGCUGCCACAUGACCCCAGCCCGGUUUAUGACAACGACGAGCUGGUUGUUGUCAUUUUUAAGAACAUGACUAUGUACUAUGCAUUUGUCUCAUUUCAGGUAAAUGCAGAGUUCAAGAGAUUGACAACAUUUCCGCUCCAGUCCUGUUUCUUCUCUCAGCUGGACAUUUUGUCUGACAAACUUCUAACCUUGUAUCAGAAGAGGGGAGGACGAAUUGGAAAGAAGCUGAAGCAGCUGAUGGAACACACGACAGACGUAAGAGGAGAGAGAGAAGUGGUUUUAACCCAUAAGAAGCCAGGCAUAUGUUUUUCCUUUUAGAAAAAUGAUGGGGGAAAUAACGGAAUAAAGAGACUUCGAUUAAGACAUUUCUGCAGUCCAUGUAGAAUCCCAGCGUCCAGUCUGUAAAAUGGUGCUUUUGGUGUUAAAGGAGACAUUAUGCAACAUCAACUUUUUAGAGCUUUUACCAAUGUUAUGACAUUGUUCCCUCAUCAGAACAUAUCUGAAGUGCUGUUUCACUUCAUUCACUCUGUUUUCAGUAAUCCUGUUUCUUCUACUGCUGAAGUGCUCCAAUCUGUACUUACAUAUACAGAAUUAUAUUGUCAUAAAUGAAACACAAAACUGUCUUCUACAUUUUUGAAUUCCAUAAUCCAUCAGCAGACCUUUUUCUGAGCAGUUCUGUGCUCCAAAAUGUUCAUCACAGCGUCAUUCCCACUGUUGGCUGCAGAGUUUAUUUAGACUUGAAGAUGUAACUGAAGCUAGAGCUAGUUAAUCUGCUGUGGUUGGUUGAAUCUUCCUGUCACUUUCUAAGAGGAUGACCAGUAGGAAAAGAUGGCUAGAAGUAGACGGCGUGUGUUUUUGUGCAUAGAACUGUAUGAUUUAGGAAUGGUACUGAGAUCUGUUCAGCAUCCAGGGAAGAAGAUGUCAGUUCUGGGAGGGAGUGUGUUUUGAAGGCAUUAUGCGUCUACUUCAACGAAGACCCUGACAGCCUGAUUAAAGAGCAUGUGGGAAACAGCAAAGCCAUCUUUGUGGACUACGCAGAAGACACCACUGUGGGAAUCUUCACUGCAAAACAACAUGAGGCCCAGUCCAAAGCAGAUGACAUCGGAAUCAUCCUGGAAGGCCAAAUAGUCUUCCAAGAACUGGACAAUGUUCCACUGGCCCUCCUCUUUGGACUCCUGUAUGCCCUAAACAUGGACUAUCUCCUCAGCAGAAGUACGUUUUUUGAAGUGGUCCAAAUGGUGAUCAUGGAGCUUGAUGGGGGCAGCCUUUCCAAAAAAGCUCAGGUCCUGAAAAACGGACUUCUUGAAUACUGGUUUAUGAUGUUUGAUGUUUCCAUUUUGCACUGGCCUUUGGGCCUCAUGUUGUCUUGCAGUGUUUGUUUAAAAAAAGUUGCUAUUGAUAGGUUUAUGCAAUUGUUAUUCAAGUGUUUCACUUAACUGUGUUUAAAAAAAAAGACAAGGUCGGUCUGGAUGGUCAGACUGUCUUUGUUCACAUGUUUAUUUCUUGUGGCUGUAAGUCACUCCAUAUUUGAAUGUAAUCCUAAUCCUACCUAAUAGUUGUGAAGUAUACUGGCUGAACACUUGGUUCAUAUUGUCUUAACAGAGAUGCAAACUUGACAUUUUAAAGGUUUUAACCAUGUUAUCUGAGGUCCCCAAAGGAGUGUUUUGAAGCCUCAAUUAUGCAUAUGUGCGCUUUAAGUUGAAUGUGGAAGGAGCACAUUUCUGUAGAUUAAAUGCAUUGUUUGAGAUGAAAUAUUUCACUGUUAAAACAGGUAAGAAAUAUUAAAUCAGCCUGUUUGAUGAUUGA